CUGUGUGUCUGUGUGUGUGUGUGUGUGUGUGUGUCCUUUGUCUUCACCUUAUGUAGUAGAAGCAGGGCAUGUAGGCUGCUUGGUGGAAAAGUAGGGACAGUACAACCAGUUGAGAGAAAGAGUCUAGAUGCUAGGCCUCUGAGGAAGCCCAUCUGGGCUUUGCCUCUGCCUCUGGGCAGGGCCGUCCUUGCCUGCUGCUGACUGACCCACAAUGUAAGGUCAUUGCCCUCGCCUGGUGCGGAGGAGCUCUGCGCGUAAGUGUGGUUACUGCAGCUUACAUUACUGUGGUUAGUGAUGGUCUCUGCUCCUGGGUUUCUGGCCAAAGAGGAAGAGCUCAGGAGUUGUGAGUCACAGCUAGCAGUAUACAGUGGAGUGUUCUGGGGACACUCCUGAGACCCAGACAUAACCUCUGCCCUCUGGAGUUCUGGUCAGAUGCAGACAAUGAACAGAAAGCACUGCUUGAGGCUGGAGGCCAUCCCCUCAUCCAGGAAGACCAUCUUGGUUAACUGUGAUGAAAUUUCUCUGGGAUUGAUCUGUAGUUCUGGCAAGAUUGGAUUCUUUAUCUGUCCCAUCUGGCCAGGUCUGAGCAUGGAGGACCUGCAAAUUCUGUACUGGGGACAUGGCAGAAUGCUGUCCUCCCACAGAGUCCUUUACUCAUUCAGUAACGGUGCCAGGUGCUCAGGAAGACUGACACCAAGUAAUUACACAAAUAAAAAUAUACAAAUCGGAAUGUGCUGGGAAGGAGAACCCCAGGGGAUUCGGGAGGGCUCACCAGGGACUUAGUUUACCUGGAGUUGUGCCUGCUGUUGAAGCUAACCUCCUGCCUAGUUGCGUGUGCUCGAGAGUACGUGUGCUCUAACACACACACACACACACACACACACACACACACACACACAGAGUUAAGAAAAGUUAAACCUUUAAGUGAUGGCAUCUUUUGGUCCAUUCUGAAGCUUCCUACUUGCCUGGACCAUAAAUUGAAUCUGCAUGGCCAAGGCCCUGCCCUAGGCCUGGCACAGGGGAGGUACCUCAGAUUUCGAAAUAUUCAAAAUGCCAUCAGGACACCGCCCACCCCCAAAUUAAUCUUACAGUGAUGGAGUUGAAGCAUGGGGGCUUAUGGGUGGUCCAGGAAGCCUCCAGGGAUGAAUAGGGAUUGGUCUGGAAGUGUUGAAACUGAGAUGGGCCAAUGAGGAGGCUGGAGAUAAGGAGGGCAGGACAGAUUUGGGGUAGCAAGAAGUCCUGUGCUCUGCUCUGAGGCCUGCCUUCAGGAGGCAGGACUGUUGGGACUUGGACUGGGAUACAAGGGCCUGGGCUGGGGACUGACAGAGAUGAACAAGUGGACGUGGCACAGUUUUUGGUGGCCUUUGAGGACAUGCACAUGGCCUCCAUGGGUAGUUGACCAGAGUUCUCCCCGGGAAGAAUAAGAUUCCUUUCGACUCUGCUGAGGAAGGAAGCCUCAUAGGAGAGAUGGUGCCAUAGUGAGGUCUUGAAGGAUGAUGGUAAACUCAAUAGGUAGUGAUGGGAGAAGGCCUGGAGGUAAGAAGGCAAAAACCAUGUUGGGUGAACUCUGCAAGGAGCAGAAGACUUAUGUGCAUGGGAAAUAAAGUUGGAAAAUGGGUUCAAGUUGAAUGAGCACAGAUGAACACUGAAAUACAACUCUUUCCUAUGGGUAAUGGGGAGCCACCGAUGGUUGUUGAGCAAGAGUAUCCUGCAGGGAGAGGAAACUGAUGCGUUACUUUAGUUUCUCUCCAUAACAGCAUCAGUGGCAGGCAGGCCGGGAACCUUCCAUGGUCUAGGUUAUAAAAUCCACUGAGUGAGGGAGCUAGGAGAAUGAGAAGGGGAGAAGAGGAGGGGUGAGGAGGAAAUGAGGGAGCAGGAAGGUUGAGUUGGGGGAAGAAUAGAGGAGAGCAAGA